rnacentral:rRNA from 1 species
GACGAACGCUGGCGGCGUGCCUAACACAUGCAAGUCGAGCGAGAAUCUUUUAAAUGAUCCCUUCGGGGUGAAAUUAAAAGAGGAAAGCGGCGGACGGGUGAGUAACGCGUGAGAAACCUGCCUCUCAGUGGGGGACAACAGUUGGAAACGACUGCUAAUACCGCAUAAGCGCACAGUACCGCAUGGUACAGUGUGAAAAAACUCCGGUGGUAUGAGAUGGACCCGCGUCUGAUUAGCUAGUUGGUGAGGUAACGGCUCACCAAGGCAACGAUCAGUAGCCGGCCUGAGAGGGUGAACGGCCACAUUGGGACUGAGACACGGCCCAAAACUCCUACGGGAGGCAGCAGUGGGGAAUAUUGCACAAUGGGGGAAACCCUGAUGCAGCGACGCCGCGUGAGUGAAGAAGAUUUCGGUAUGUAAAAGCUCUAUCAGCAGGGAAGAAAAUGACGGUAACCUGACUAAGAAGCAACCGGGCUAAAUAACGUG